UUCCGUUUACUUCUCUAACGAGACCCAUCGGAGCCAUCAACAGUGACCUUUCUUUCCGCGUUCCUCUCUGCAUCUCCCUGCGGUGCCCUUGUCGCCAUUACUCCACCUGGAGCUGCUUCACCACAGCUACUGCAACUUUCGACCACUUCUCUGCACCAUUAAGAGUACAUAAUACUUGACGUUGGCCUUAACCCUUUGAUUAUUCCCUUGAUAGUGAACAUAACUUGAUGCAACUUCAACAUGAAUCUUUGCAUCCUCUGGCAUAAGGCUUCGAGGCCAUUACCCAAUAGCUUCUCCGAUGAACAACCGCAUCUCCUCAGCUGUGCUGAUAACUCGAGCUUUCUUGGACGAAGAACGGACCUGUGUCCAUCUACUGCAGUUUCAUCUUCUUGCAGCAUCUCCAGCUACUCGCUCCUUUGCUGCUCACGAUGAUCCAUGUUCUGUACCUUGAGACUUUAACUACUCCACCUUAAGCAAUUUCUUUUGCUUUUUCUGUAGCUAC